rnacentral:rRNA from 1 species
GACGAACGCUGGCGGCGCGCUUAACACAUGCAAGUCGAACGAUGAAGCCGGAGCUUGCUCUGGUGAAUUAGUGGCGAACGGGUGAGUAACACGUGAGUAACCUGCCCUUGACUCUGGGAUAACUGCGGGAAACUGUAGCUAAUACCGGAUACGACCCUCGGAGGCAUCUCCUGGGGGUGGAAAGAAUUUCGGUCAAGGAUGGACUCGCGGCCUAUCAGCUAGUUGGUGAGGUAAAGGCUCACCAAGGCGACGACGGGUAGCCGGCCUGAGAGGGUGACCGGCCACACUGGGACUGAGACACGGCCCAGACUCCUACGGGAGGCAGCAGUGGGGAAUAUUGCACAAUGGGCGCAAGCCUGAUGCAGCAACGCCGCGUGAGGGAUGACGGCCUUCGGGUUGUAAACCUCUUUUAGCAGGGAAGAAGCGAAAGUGACGGUACCUGCAGAAAAAGCACCGGCUAACUACGCGCCAGCCGCCGCAGUAA